rnacentral:tRNA from 1 species
UUCCCAGUGGUCCAGUGGCUAAGACUCUGUACUCCCAAAGCAGGGGCCCCGGUUUGAACCCUGGUUGGGGAA